GAUGAACGCUAGCGGGAGGCCUAACACAUGCAAGCCGAGCGGUAUUGUUUCUUCGGAAAUGAGAGAGCGGCGUACGGGUGCGGAACACGUGUGCAACCUGCCUUUAUCUGGGUGAUAGCCUUUCGAAAGGAAGAUUAAUACUCCAUAACAUAUUGAACGGCAUCGUUCGAUAUUGAAAGCUCCGGCGGCUAGAGAUGGGCACGCGCAAGAUUAGCUAGUUGGUGAGGUAACGGCUCACCAAGGCGAUGAUCUUUAGGUGGCCUGAGAGGGUGAUCCCCCACAAUGGUACUGAGACACGGACCAGACUCCUACGGGAGGCAGCAGUGAGGAAUAUUGGUCAAUGGGUGCAAGCCUGAACCAGCCAUCCCGCGUGAAGGACGACUGCCCUAUGGGUUGUAAACUUCUUUUGUAUAGGGAUAAACCUGCCCUCGUGAGGGUAGCUGAAGGUACUAUACGAAUAAGCACCGGCUAACUCCGUG
rnacentral:rRNA from 1 species